rnacentral:misc_RNA from 1 species
AACUUCAAUACCCAAGAAAUACUUGAGUGAGCCCAAGUCUUUUAUUUGAAACUAGGUCAGAAGUGUUUAAGGGAUGAAAUACCUGCAAAGUCACUCCUAGUGAUAACAAUAUCAUCAAUAUACACUACCAAUAAAAUUAGGCCAGCCUUAGACUGCCUAUAAAACACUGAAUGAUCGUAUUUACUCUUUUGCAUACCAAAAUACUGUACUACUUCACUGAAUCUCCCAAACCAAGCCCGAGAACUUUGUUUCAAGUCAUAGAGAGACUUUUGAAGUCUGCAAACUUUAACCGACUCCCCUUGAGCAACAAACCUUGAUGGUUGCUCCAUAUAUACCUCUUCCUGAAGGCCACCAUGAAGAAAGGCAUUCUUUAUAUCUAAUUGG